CCCUAAAUUCUACAGCCACCAAUCAAAUUUUCUUGUAGAUUCUUUUUUCCAUCGACGAUUUGAAGAUUUACUAUGGCCAGUAAAAGAGAAGGUCUAGCGAUCGGAAUCGAUUUGGAACCACGUACUCUUGCGUCGGUGUGUGGCAGUAGGAUCGAGUUGAGAUCAUUGCCAACGAUUAGGUUUGUAGAUCUCACUGCCGCUACUCAUCUUUCAGAUCUAUAAGACAAAAAGUUGCGGCUUGUGCUAAGAUCUUUGUAGGAGAUGGUGGCACAACCAGGGAUAUAUCGAUGAAAAUAACACUGUGAUUGACUAUAAUGGAUUGCUUAACAUUCACAUGCUUGCAUAUUAUAAUUCGAUAUAUAAGGGUGUUGCAACAGUAAUGGUAUCUUACUCAAGCUGGAAUGGAGUGAGAAUGCACGCCAACUGUGAUCUUGUAACUGGCUUCCUCAAGAACAAGCUCAAGUUCAAGGGGUUUGUUAUUUCCGAUUGGCAAGGGAUUGACAGGUCUUUUGUUAUAAGAUUUUGCAUCAUUUUGGCCAAUUUCACUUCUUCUGCAGAUGGAGUUGGCGUCUAUGUUUGA